GGAAUCAUAGCUCUAAAAGGAGCUAAGGAACUCUUACGGGAACAGGAAUGGUUGUGGGGGCACUGGUCUUUCCCAUCAAAUGUGUUUUGAAGAAGCAAUGUUUUGGUUUGUGUAGCACUGGGAUGGUUUGUGACUCGACGUCGGUGUGUGAAUAAUUGAUUGAGGGUUACCUGCUCAUGAAAACAUGGACUCCAAUACAGAUCUUUCUAGAGAUGUC
rnacentral:lncRNA from 1 species